UACGUAGGGGGCGAGCGUUGUCCGGAAUCAUUGGGCGUAAAGAGCUCGUAGGCGGCUGAGUAAGUCAGGUGUGAAACCCCCAGGCUCAACCUGGGGCCGCCAUCUGAUACUGCUCUAGCUUGAGUCCGGUAGGGGACCACGGAAUUCCUGGUGUAGCGGUGAAAUGCGCAGAUAUCAGGAGGAACACCGGUGGCGAAGGCGGUGGUCUGGGCCGGCACUGACGCUGAGGAGCGAAAGCGUGGGGAGCAAACAGG
rnacentral:rRNA from 1 species